UACGGGGGGAGCAAGCGUUGUUCGGAUUUACUGGGCGUAAAGGGCGCGUAGGCGGUCAGCACAAGUCAGUUGUGAAAUCUCCGGGCUUAACUCGGAAAGGUCAACUGAUACUGUGCGACUAGAGUGCAGAAGGGGCAACUGGAAUUCUCGGUGUAGCGGUGAAAUGCGUAGAUAUCGAGAGGAACACCUGCGGCGAAGGCGGCCAUCUGGACGAGGACUGACGCUGAGAUGCGAAAGCGUGGGGAGCAAACAGG
rnacentral:rRNA from 1 species